GACAGAGGGGGCAAGCGUUGCUCGGAAUCACUGGGCGUAAAGGGCGCGUAGGCGGGAUGGCAAGUCAGUCGUGAAACUCUCUCGGCUCAACCGAGAAACGUCGGCUGAUACUGCCGUUCUUGAGGGAUGCAGAGGAGACUGGAAUUCCCGGUGUAGCGGUGAAAUGCGUAGAUAUCGAGAGGAACACCUGCGGCGAAGGCGGGUUGCUGGGCUGACACUGACGCUGAUGCGCGAAAGCUAGGGGAGCGAACGGG
rnacentral:rRNA from 1 species